rnacentral:rRNA from 1 species
UACGGAGGGUGCAAGCGUUAUCCGGAUUCACUGGGUUAAAGGGUGCGUAGGCGGCUUAAUAAGUCAUUGGUGAAAGCUCGCAGCUCAACUGCGAAACUGCCAUUGAAACUGUUAGCUGAAUGUGGUUGAAGUGGGCGGAAUACAACAUGUAGCGGUGAAAUGCUUAGAUAUGUUUAGAACACUGAUGCGAAGGCAGCUCACUAAGCCAAUAUGACGCUGAGGCACGAAAGCGUGGGUAGCAAACAGG